UGUAAUGUGGGUAGUCCGCACGAGCGCACCCUAUCCUUAUUUGCCAGCGCGUUAUGGCGGGAACUCUAAGGAGACCGCCGGUGAUAAACCGGAGGAAGGUGGGGACGACGUCAAGUCAUCAUGGCCCUUACGGGAUGGGCUACACACGUGCUACAAUGGCGUAUACAGAGUGCUGCAAUACCGCGAGGUGGAGCGAAUCACACAAAGUACGUCGUAGUCCGGAUCGGAGUCUGCAACUCGACUCCGUGAAGUCGGAAUCGCUAGUAAUCGUAGAUCAGAAUGCUACGGUGAAUACGUUCCCGGGCCUUGUACACACCGCCCGUCACACCAUGGGAGUGGGAUGCAAAAGAAGUGGCUAGUUUAACCUUUCGGGGAGGACGGUCACCACUUUGUGUUUCAUGACUGGGGUGAAGUCGUAACAAGGUAACCCUAGGGGAACCUGGGGUUGGAUCACCUCCUU
rnacentral:rRNA from 1 species